rnacentral:rRNA from 1 species
AGAGUUUGAUCCUGGCUCAGGACGAACGCUGGCGGCGUGCCUAAUACAUGCAAGUCGAGCGGAUCACUAGGAGCUUGCUCCUGGUGGUUAGCGGCGGACGGGUGAGUAACACGUGGGCAACCUGCCUGUAAGACUGGGAUAACUUCGGGAAACCGGAGCUAAUACCGGAUAAUCCUUUUCCUCUCAUGAGGAAAAGCUGA